CUGGUUAGUACUUGGAUGGGAGACCUCCUCGGAAGGCCAG
rnacentral:rRNA from 10 species